UCCGUAGGCGGGCAAUUAAGUCAGAGGUGAAAUCCCACAGCUCAACUGUGGAACUGCCUUUGAUACUGGUUGUCUUGAGUUACAGUGAAGUAGAUAGAAUAUGUAGUAUAGCGGUGAAAUGCAUAGAUAUUACAUAGAAUACCGAUUGCGAAGGCAGUCUACUAACUGUAUACUGACGCUAAUGGACGAAAGCGUGGGGAGCGAACAGGAUUAGAUACCCUGGUAGUCC
rnacentral:rRNA from 1 species